GCUCAGUGGCUCAGUGGUUGAGCGUCUGCCUUUGGCUCAGGUCGUGAAUCUGGGGUCCUGGGUUCGAGUCCCACAUUGGGCU
rnacentral:tRNA from 1 species